rnacentral:rRNA from 1 species
AGUAAUACAUAAGUAACCUGCCCUAGACAGGGGGAUAACUAUUGGAAACGAUAGCUAAGACCGCAUAGGUACGGACACUGCAUGGUGACCGUAUUAAAAGUGCCUCAAAGCACUGGUAGAGGAUGGACUUAUGGCGCAUUAGCUGGUUGGCGGGUAACGGCCCACCAAGGCGACGAUGCGUAGCCGACCUGAGAGGGUGACCGGCCACACUGGGACUGAGACACGGCCCAG